rnacentral:pre_miRNA from 1 species
UGAUGUUGAUGAUGCUGAUGAUGAGGAUGAUGAGGAUGAUGAUUAAUAAUUAUGAAUGAUGAUCAUAAUAGUAAUAUCAUCAUCAUCAUCAUCAUCAUCAUCAUGAAGA